rnacentral:rRNA from 1 species
GACGAACGCUGGCGGCGUGCUUAACACAUGCAAGUCGAACGAAGAGCGAUGGAAGCUUGCUUCUAUCAAUCUUAGUGGCGAACGGGUGAGUAACGCGUAAUCAACCUGCCCUUCAGAGGGGGACAACAGUUGGAAACGACUGCUAAUACCGCAUACGAUCUGACCUCGGCAUCGAGGAUAGAUGAAAGGUGGCCUCUAUUUAUAAGCUAUCACUGAAGGAGGGGAUUGCGUCUGAUUAGCUAGUUGGAGGGGUAACGGCCCACCAAGGCGAUGAUCAGUAGCCGGUCUGAGAGGAUGAACGGCCACAUUGGGACUGAGACACGGCCCAGACUCCUACGGGAGGCAGCAGUGGGGAAUCUUCCGCAAUGGACGAAAGUCUGACGGAGCAACGCCGCGUGAGUGAUGACGGCCUUCGGGUUGUAAAGCUCUGUUAAUCGGGACGAAAGGCCUUCUUGCGAAUAGUUAGAAGGAUUGACGUACCGGAAUAGAAAGCCACG